AGCAGCCGCGGUAAUUCCAGCUCCAAUAGCGUAUAUUAAAGUUGUUGCAGUUAAAAGCUCGUAGUUGAAUUUCGGGAUCAAUUCGUCGGUCGUGCUUUUUGGUACGUACUGGUGUUUAUUGGUUUCUCCCUUCUGACGAACCAUGAUGUCAUUAAUUUGGUGUUAUGGGGAGUUAGGACUGUUACUUUGAAAAAAUUAGAGUGUUUAAAGCAGGCAUUAGCUUGAAUACAUUAGCAUGGAAUAAUGAAAUAGGACGUUCGAUCCUAUUUUGUUGGUUUCUAGGAUCAACGUAAUGAUUAAUAGGGAUAGUUGGGGGCAUUAGUAUUCAAUUGUCAGAGGUGAAAUUCUUGGAUUUAUUGAAGACUAACUACUGCGAAAGCAUUUGCCAAGGAUGUUUUCAUAAUUCAAGAACGAAAGUUAGGGGAUCGAAGACGAUCAGAUACCGUCGUAGUCUUAACCAUAAACUAUGCCGACUAGGGAUCGGAUGAUGUUAAUUUUUUUAAUGACUCAUUCGGCGCCU
rnacentral:misc_RNA from 1 species